ensembl:lncRNA
GACCAAGUAUUAGUAUGUAUUUAUGCACAAGAAUAAAAACGGCUUUACAAGUUGAAUUGGAAACUUAAACAAAGGAAGUUUAACAGCUUUUGUAUAUUAUAUUAAAUAACAAAAACACCUUUUUCCAAAAUUGGUAAAGAAUAAAUAAUAUAAUUUACAAUAUGGUACAAAAAAUAACCAGUAAGGACAGGCAUUCUGCUUUAUACAUACACUAUAUAGGUAUAUUUAUAAUCUAUAAAACAAAUUCACACCUCAAACAAGCCAGAAACCUUAGAUGAUAUGGCUUAACUAUUAUUAAAAGAAACAGCAUUACAUUUUGCUGCCAGAACCAUAAGCUCUAAAGCAGUUAUCACAUUUCAGUAAUUAAUGAUAACUUAUUGCCGUAGUGCUUGCCAAGGUUUCACUUAGUCAACAUUUACAAAUCGCUGUGAAAUUAAGAGAUUCAAAGGUUUGAAAAGGUUAAAAAAAAAAGUGCAGUACUUUCCUUAUAAAUGCAUCCAAAGUCUGACUGUAAAAAACAAAAUACAACUCAACUUCCACUCUGGGACCUGCGGAGUCAGUAAAUGAGAUGUCUUUAUAGGUUAGAUUUAUCCAAUCCACUUAAUUCCAUUUCUAAAUAGAGAGAGGUGUCAAAAAAAGGCUUAACAAGGCCGUAUUAAAAACGGUUAGUAUUCCUAUGCUUAGUAGCUUUAGUGAUAAAGGACAAAAUGAAUUGCGGGGGUAAUCGGGAUGCAACACCCAGCAGAAAACUCAUCGUACACAUGGGCAGCUCUAGUUCCUAGGAUGUAGUGCUGCUUGUCACCCAGACCACAACGGCAACAAACUCUGAAUUUUUGCACCAUUCACCUUGCUGAACGACUCAGAACUUCCUUAUUACAUAUAGUCACACGGGGAGAGCCCAGAGCAAUUGAUAAUGGAGGUUGUUAGUGUCCAUUUGUCUUCUCCAACCACCCUGCAGUGCUCCAAGGAGCUGUUAAGCUGACAAAGUCACAUUUACAUCAAAACCCAUUCUGUGUAUGGGGCAGUGUAACCUGCCAGAAUGUGUGCGGGACGGGCUGGCAUUGUUACAUAAAGGGAUCUUACUGCUUCUGUUGGGGAAGCUAAAUAAGUACAAAUGAGAAAGUUCUGUGUUUUACAAAAAAUAAAUAUACACACACAGACAAGCAUGCAUAUAUGUGUGCGUGCAUAUGUGUGUGAGUGUGUGUACACACCCCAACCCACUAAUUUUUCGCUUAGCAGCCUCGGGCACAAACUGUUGAUGAUUAGAAUUGUAAAGCACAUCCACCUAAAAUCUAAAGCUGGUGCAUUCAGAGGUGUGUUCAAGUGACCUUUCACGUAAUAGGGACAACAAAUUCUGCAUCGAUUCAACAUCACCACAAUGAUCUAUGUUAUUUUCAAGUAUUUUUCCCUGGUAAGACUUGUCCUGAAAGGGCUUUGUUACUAAACUGGAGCUUGCAAAGUGUUACAGCUCUGAAAUCAAAUUUUGUUUCAUAAUGACAACUUUCAAGAGGGUGAUGCCAAACAUUUCUAACAACAAAAUUCUGAGUGCUGAACUGACCUCUGUCAUUUCCACUUUGUUAUUACUUGGUGGUCCAAGUCUACUUGCAAACAUUCAGAACAUUCAAGUUUUCUGAUCUCAUGGCACCAUUAGGAAUAGCCACUCUGCUGACUUCAUUCUGCUAUUCUAUUAUUCCCUUAUGGGAAUGGAAUGGGCUGAGGAAGUGCAGUAUGACAGGUCCCUGUAUGUCAACGAGUCACGGAUCCUGGUGCUCUGCCAUGCUGUUGCAGCAACACCGGCACUUGUUCUAGGCAACCAAGGAGUCAAACCUAGCAUCACAUCCACUCCAUUACCAGCAAGGGUAAAGUCAAAACAUUUGCCAAGCCACCUAAACACACCAGAGAUCACCAGGCUGGUCUUUCCGUAUUUAGAAGUUUAAGAGUUCAGGUUUGUUCUUUUAUACAGUACUUGAUUAGAAUGAAUCACAUCUCCUGCAUGUCCUGUAAUCCACAGCCACAGGAGGAGCCCUCUGCUUUUGUCCUGCAAGUCCAAAGGAUUUUUGGAGGUACAGCAUACAGGAUAAUCAGCAUUACUAAUGCAAGAAGCCAAACCCAAGAGGAAACAAUCUGGGAAAGACUACACCAAAAUACAGCUCAACUCAAAGUAAAACUUCAAAGUUUUAGAGGGAGUGACUCUUGAGAUCCACAGGUAUCCUCUCCAUACCAAGGGUCAAUGCUCAGAACGAUACAGUCCCCAGCAUUCAUUUUUCUGACAGCCUUCAACCUUUUAUAUUCUAGGUUUACAUGAUUUCCUGAUAAUUUCACCAGAAUUCUCAAACAAGGCUCUAAAAGAAUAAUGAAAGAGAAAUAAUGCCCGGACUUCAUAUACCACAUGACAUGUGGUCAGAAUAGGAAGUUAGCCCACAGGCAGGAAACUCUCCAUUCUUCUAGUCAUGAUUGUUUCCUUGCUAGUAAUACAGGUCUGCCUCCCUGCUGGGCACAUCCAGUUGUUCUAAUGCUGGUUUUGCACAUCUGUAUGGUUCCUAUGC